rnacentral:lncRNA from 1 species
CGCAUGGGGGGCAGGUGGUUCUGUGGUGGCUGAAAUGUGACUCCAGCAUGUGUGAAACAGGACUCUGGUGUGGCUGACCCAUGUGUCAGGCAUGGCUGACUCGUGACUCAGGAAUCAUCACCCAGUAUCCAUGUGUGAUUGAAAUGUGAUCACACAGGCAUCACACGUCGUACAUGGGUGGCUCCCACGUGACUACAGGUUGCUGAAACGUGGCUCCCACAUACUCAGUCACGGCUGCCAAGUGGCUCACGCAUGGCUCAGCUGUGUCUCAUGGGUGGCUCCCCUAUGGUUCAUGCGUGGUUCAAGCAUGGAACACCUGUGUUUCCCUGGUUCUUCAAAUGUGGUUCAAGGUUGUCUCCCAUGUGGUUCCUGCAUGGCUCACACAUGGUUUGCGUGUAAUUCAGGCGUGGAUCUCACAUGAGUCGUCUGGGUCACAUAUGGUUGGGACACUCUCACACGUGAUUCAGGCAUAUCUCAGCCAUCGUACAUGUUAUGCAGACGUGCCACAGAACUGGCUCCCAUGUGGCUGACACAUGAUACAGGCUUUGGUCCCGCAUGGCUCACACAUGGUUCAGGUGUGGCUCAUGCAUGUCUGUGGUGUUGGUCAGGCGUGGCUCACAUGUGUUUGUGGCAUGGGUGGCAUGUGGUUCAGGCAUGGCAGGCAAGUUGUGCCAGUGUGGCUGGCACGUGCUUCAAGUGAGGCUGACCUGUUGUUCAAGUGUGACUGGCACUUGGUUCAGGCCUGGCUGGCACGUGACUUGGCGUGGCUGAGCCUUGACACAGGCCUGGUUCACACGUUGUUCAGGCGUGGCUGACACAGGACUCAGCUGUGGUGGAAACGUGACAGAGGUGUGCCUGAAACGUCACGCAAACGUGGUUCACACAUGGUUCAUGCAUGGCCUUCAUGUGGUUCAGGGCUGGCUGGUGCAUCAUGCACGCAUGGGUGGGAGGUGGUUCAGGCGUGGCUGAAACCUGACUCCGGCAUGUGUGAAACAGGACUCCGGUGUGGCUGACACAUGUGUCAGGCAUGGCUGACACGUGACUCAGGCAUUCAUCGCCCAGUAUCCAUGUGUGACAGUAAAGUGAUCACGCAGGAGUCACAUGCCAUACAUAGGUGGCUCCCACGUGACUACAGGUUGCUGAAACAUGGCUCCCACAUACU